AAGUCGUAACAAGGUUUCCGUAGGUGAACCUGCGGAAGGAUCAUUAAUAAAUGCUUCAUUGCAUCCACCUUUUGUGCACUGUAAAUAUUUCACUUGAACUUUGUCUGAUUAAUCUUUGUUCUGAAAGGAACAUGAAUUAUAAUCUAAUACAACUUUUAACAAUGGAUCUCUUGGCUCUC
rnacentral:misc_RNA from 1 species